rnacentral:rRNA from 1 species
CAGCCGCCGCGGGAAUACGUAGGGUGCGAGCGUUAAUCGGAAUUACUGGGCGUAAAGCGUGCGCAGGCGGUUCGUUAAGACAGAUGUGAAAUCUUCGGGCUCAACCCGAAGCCUGCACGAGAAACUACCGGGCUUGAGUAUUGGAGAGGUGAGUGGAAUUCCCGGUGUAGCGGUGAAAUGCGUAGAUAUCGGAAGGAACACCUGUGGCGAAAGCGGCUCACUGGACAAUAACUGACGCUGAUGCACGAAAGCUAGGGGAGCAAACAGGAUUAGAUACCCGCGUAGUCCCUGUCUCUUAUAC